rnacentral:rRNA from 1 species
UACAGAGGGUGCAAGCGUUGUUCGGAAUUAUUGGGCGUAAAGGGCGCGUAGGCGGCGCGGAUAGUCGGCGGUGAAAGCCCGGAGCUCAACUCCGGGUCGGCCGUCGAUACUUCCGGGCUUGAGCACUGUAGAGGCAGAUGGAAUUCCGGGUGGAGCGGUGAAAUGCGUAGAGAUCCGGAGGAACACCGACGGCGUAGGCAGCGCCCCUGGACGACACCUGACGCUGGAGGCACGAAAGCUGGGGGAGCGAACAGG